GUAUCCUACGGGGGGCAGCAGUGGGGAAUAUUGCACAAUGGGGGAAACCCUGAUGCAGCGACGCCGCGUGAGUGAGGAGGUAUUUCGGUAUGUAAAGCUCUAUCAGCAGGGAAGAAAAUGACGGUACCUGACCAAGAAGCCCCGGCUAACUACGUGCCAGCAGCCGCGGUAAUACGUAGGGGGCAAGCGUUAUCCGGAUUUACUGGGUGUAAAGGGAGCGUAGGCGGCUGUGUAAGCCAGAAGUGAAAGCCCGAGGCCCACCCACGGGCCUGCUUUUGGAACUACCUGGCUUGAUUGCAGGAGAG
rnacentral:rRNA from 1 species